rfam:Pristionchus pacificus strain PS312 contig4538, whole genome shotgun sequence.
UCUUCAUUUCCCACACUCUAUCAUCAGUCAGAGAUGCGAGAGAGUGCGUGAAAUGAAGAGA